ensembl:lncRNA
AUCUGAGGAGCAGGCCAUUUUUGAUAACCUCUUCAUAGCAAAGGAUGAAGACGUAACACAAUUUGUCAACUACAUUCACAGAACGACAAAACAUGUAAUAUUGCAGAUUAUAAUUACAUAUCCAAGAAUACAAUAAUCUCCUAUUAAAGAGUAUUGAUAUGAACUGUAAGUCUCUAGACCAUUUUCAUCAAUCAAUUUUAAUAUUGUAGGUCUCUGGAAGAGCUGUUUGUGGUGGGGAAUGGUCGGCGGCUCGAGAGACGUCCCAAAAAUCAGCCAGCAAACUGGACGAGGAGGGACUGGAGCUGGCUGUGUGUCGGCAUGGAGUCCUCCUCUGUGCCCUCAACAUGUACAGGGGAGAAAUGUUUGCCUAUCCCCUUUUUCUACAGGAGAAGCUGGUCUACAUUCUUUUGCAUGGAUGUAGCCUGCAAGUAUUCGCCAUACCUGGAGAAAAUCAUUAGAAGCUGCCCUGAGUUUAAACAUCUGCUGGAAAUGAAGCCCUUCCUCUCGGUGUUUCAUGCAAAAGCCCAUGAUUUUAAAUGUGAAGUAAGUAAUCAUCACCAUAUGACAGAAUAACUUUAUGUGAAAACCUUAACGUCAACAUUGACAAAUUAUAACAUGCCUUGUUUUUUAAUAUAUUUUAACAGAUCAAAUGGAGUGGAGCAUUUCUGGAGGGGGCUGGGUUAACGCUUGGGGAGGAGGUGGAACAAGUGAAUGCCUUCCUCUCUAGGAUAGCAGUUACGACAAAGCAUAUGUCAAAAGCAGGUGAGUUGGCCACAUAGUAUGAACUUUGGUUCAGGAAAUAGGCAAAAUAGUGAUAACAUCAUAUUUUCUGUUGUAGGGCGUACAGACAUGUUAACACUCAUGGCCAUGAAAUUCUUGUCAUAAAUGCUUCACAGACUCUGUCGACCUCAGAAUGAAGAGGAGAGUUUUUGACAGUGUCAUGGCGGAACGAAGACAUCGGGAAGAAAAAACUAUCCUUUUGUCAGAGAUGAACCGCCACUGGAGGUCCUUAACAGUUUGUGGGGAUUCCUUAAAAGAGCUGUCUUCUCUGAUUACUAGGACAACAAUGCAAGAGUCACCAUGGGCUUUGACUGAAGACGGGAUGAAAGGUCUGCAGAGCAUCGCCAAACAGAAGCUGCAUCGUGUCAGAGAAAUUAUGGCUUUUGCGAGACACUGCUACCUUCAAGUUUUGACUGGAGCAGAGAACUUCCUUCAAAGCUUUUCAGAGGAAUAUUCUGACAGCAACUCUGCCUCUGACCUUGAGGAUCUGAAGUGAACGCUGCAGGGAACAGGACGUGAAUAUGAGAAGGCAGUUAUUCCUAGGUUGGAGUGAGCUGCUCCUCCUAAAGGUUCCCCGAGCUCACUCCAACCCUUCUCAUAUAGUGCCCCUAACUCAUGGAAUGUUCUGCAGAGCAACUUAAAAAUGACUGCUCUUCCUACUUUUGGUUUAUUUAAAUCUAUGAUUUCUGAAUUUUACACAUCUGACUGAACUGUUUUAGCUGAAUUCAUUGUUCAUUUAGUAUUUAUUUCAUCUUAUUUUUAUUCUUGCUCUUUUUUUCGUAUUGUAUAUACUUUCUAGAUAUAUUUUAUCAUAUUUUUUAUCCUAUUUUAUUUCUGUGUUCUCGGUUCAUUAUAUGUUAUCCUUGUAAUUGUGUUUAUUGUGUCGUCACUGUAAAUGAGGGAAACCGCUGUCUUUCGAGUGAAAAUAAAGGUUAUUGAAUGUAAGGCACAUCUUUCUCUUUUAAAAACUUUUUCGAAAAUGUGCAUUUAAUUCAUAAAUUCCUCCUUACUUUGUGUAUGUAGUAAGUCAUUCAAUUGGUUGUUUAUGACAUUAAAGCAUUUAUUGUCAUUUUAUUUCGUUUUAGUUACUACUAUGAAAGUCUUUCUAACAAAUACCAAUAAAGUUCACUAUCAACAUUGUUGUUAUUAUCAUAAAAAAGCCUCAAAUAAUUCAUACUUUCCUUGGUUAAAAUAGAUACAUAUGUGAACUACAUUAAUACAAUAACCAUUUUAUGCCACUGCAUGCUGUGUGUAGAUUAAUAUGACGAUGACACCUUCAGAUAUUACUUUUAAAAACCUUAGGCUACAGGCUGGCUGUUUUGACUGAUAGAGGCACACAGAGGUUCAUGGCACAUUGCACAAGCAUCAAAUAGUCUAGAUUUUGCUUGGUUAUAAUACAUACGUGUAGUAAUUGAAUAGUGAGAUUGCGCUGCUCGACGCAGCCGACACUAGACGCCCGUGGUCGCAACCAUACAUAGGAAGUGAAUGAAAGCCGGCCGCUACUGUCGCUUGUGAUGCUUUUGCAACAAAUUGCAGUUGCACUGUGCUACACCGGUUCAUUCUGAAACGACAUGUAAUCAAACUACCCUCUGCACUUACACUUUAUAGAAACAAAAAAUAAAUCGGGGUCGAAAUCCAUAAAGUUCUGAUUUUAAAACGUUUCUCAAUCCGUCCUUGAACGCACCAGUUCUUUUGGACAAACAAAGCAGCUGCAAACACGUCUAAAAAAAGCACUUAUAUAUAUUUUUUUUUUUUUACAACCUGAAUCUCCCUAUAAUAUGAACAAAAUAUGUUCAGAUUAUACUUUCUCUCUUGAAAAACGGGCAAAACCCUAACCCUAAGCCGGAAAAUCAAUCAAAAAACUACAAACGUUUGGAAAAUACAAUACACUUAAGUCCGCGGCGCCAUGUUUUUGUAGUUCUAAAGUGUUUUCCCUAUUAUGUGAAAAUGUGUCAGGGAACUUUGCAAGUUUAUUAUAUGCUUUAGGGACUGGGGAGCACAUUUAUUUGGUCAGAUUUCAUUUUUACUAUUGUUAAUUGGGUGAAAUCAUGUUUUAACCCUACCCAGUAGCGCCCCCUGUUGGCUUGACGAAGGCCAUGAUAGAAGAAGUCAAGAGCUUUCCAAAAAUGUUUUCCCCCUGUUUGUAUCACAUUGUGUUGCUUUUCUGUAAGCCUUUAAAAGUGCCUUAGGUUCAAGGUUCAAAGGGCAUUCCUGAGGAGCAGAAACCACCUAGAAUGUUCACAGUGGUAUAUCUGUGCUCUGCAGAUCAAGACCUUUCCAACGAUGUCUUCACUGUCAUCCUACGAAAAAGUAGGAUGACAUUUUCAUCUUUCUCACUGCCAAGGCACUUUGAUGUGUACUUUCUCACAGCCUAUAUAGAGCCAAGAUGGAUAAAAUCACUAAAACAUAUUUUAAGGGAUAUUUAGUGGCAAAAUGUGUCCAACAUAUUGAUGGUGACCUUAUCCUUAGUCAUGCUUUUCAAUUUGGAGCAGUUUAGACCCCAUUUACCCCUUAAACUACUUCAUGUUUCAUAUAAAUAUUUCCAUAUUACUUAGUAUGACCAUUUAUAGCCAUUGUGUCCCCUUCCCCAGGGCUGACAGGAUUGCCCUGGAUGAACCAAUAGUAUAUAAUAUGGUAAUGCAAAAUACAUACAUUUAUAACAUAAAGAUGAAAAUAAACUGAACAGGACAGAACUAAAUAUUAUUACAUUUGUAUAUGUUGAGCUGGCUCCCACGUGUCCUCCCAGUCCUUGCCACUGCCAGGAAAUUUAAGAGAAAACACAUAUUAACAGGAAAUAAAGCUUAAAAGAUGACCUUCAUUCUGACAUAAAUUUUUUUUUUACAAUUUGCUUAUUAAACAUGUCUUACAUAUUAGUUUGUCAUGCUAUAAUACAUCUUAAAAGCAAUUUAAGUGUUUGUGUGCACUUAUGCCAGUGUCAAACUAGACAAUCUUUUUGUGUGUUCCAAUGGUCACUGUGUCAAACGAUUAUAGAGAGAUGGAAUCGGGCCAUGGGGGCUGAGAGACUGAGAUCAGGAAAGAGUUGCUACUACACAAGUGUAAAUAGACAUUGGCGUUAUGCAGUAUGUAUGUUGUUGUCUUGUGCUCCAAAAAUAUAAAAACAACAAAUAAGAAAAGACCAUCCUCCCGUUUGUCAAAAACCAAUUGGACCCCCUGCAAUUAGCCUACAGGGAAAAAAGGGGCACAGAGGACACUGUCGCCUGCCUACUGCAUCUUGUCCUCCAGCACCUAGACUCCUCAGGCAAUCUCGCCAGGAUCCUCUUUGUCAGCUUCAACUCAGCUUUUAACACCAUCCAAAGGAAACUACAUCACCUCAACACUCCACCCAUCCUGAUCCAUCUCCUGCACAACUUCCUCUCAGACAGACGGGAAGGUGUUCAGGUUGGCACAACAACAUCACCUGCACUCAUCACCAAACUCAGAGCCCCUCAGGGCUGUGUGCUAAGCCUUUUCCUCUACACCCUGUACACCAAUAACUGCACCAGCCCCUCUCCCACCACCACCAACCUCAAAUACUCUGACGACACUGCCAUCCUCACUCUCCUAUCGGACAAUAACUCUUGUAGCCCGGUGUAAAUGUACAGGGGUUGAAACAAGUUCAUUUGUAAUACAAAUAAUUAUUUCAAUUAUUUAAUUAAAUAAUUUAGUAAUGCAAGUAAGCUGACAGUAAUUUUGAUUAAAAGCAGUGAUAGAUGAAAUGUUAACCAAGAAAUUAACAUAAAUUCAUAAUAAAGUAGAGUAUAAAUAGUUAAUCAAGUAAGUACCUAAAAUUGUUCUAUAUAGUAGCUGAAGAAAAGUGUGUGGUAAACCAAACGUGAAUAUUCAGAUUUGUGUCAUUGGUUCAUGCUGUUCAGCAUGUGAGCGAAAAGGGGGCGGGAAGAGAAAAAAGCGACAACAAGAGAGACGGAAGACUCGACGAGAAGGAGAGAAGAGAACAGAGAGAGAAAUGUGGAGCAAAGUAAAGUUAAGAAGUAAUGACGUUUUGGUAGAUAACUUGCUGAAUGUUUAAGUAACAUAAGAAGCUGUAGCUGAGGACAGUAACAUGCAUUUUUUUCCUAAUCACAGUGGAUUAGGGCGCUUGAGUUUUGCAAGAGUGACUGUGCUAACUAAGCUAAAGCAAGCGAGCUGCUAGCCAAGAGGAAGCCAUUGCUGAACGGGAAGGACUGUUUCGCGCUUCCUGAGGAGGACUUUGCAUUUGCUGCCGUUGGUUUUCAUCUCCAUCUCUUCAUGAACUGUUUCUCCAGGACUUAUUCCAGACCGUGAGUUGGAUUUUCUGUGUGACUGUUAAUUGCCACUGAGGAUAAAGAUUUGCCUGCCACACCGCACCGAGCAACACACAGGCCUGCAACUUUUAUUGUUUUUGUGUGAGUGUGAGAGUGUGUGUGUGGGCCCACUGUUUUGUUUAGAGUUUAGUUAAGUAGCAUUUGAUCUGAGUCUGAUGAGUACAGAUAAAUCAUAUUAAAGUGGUAAGAACUAGGAAUGUUAGAGACCUGAGAUAAUUUAAGUUUUGAAUAGUAUUUUGAUAUUGCCAAUUCUAUUUUGCUUAUUAUAAGUGUCUGAUUUUCUACAGUGUUUUGCCAAUUUUGGUAAAGGGUAUUUUGUUUACAAUUUAGUAUUUCAACUAUAAUAUUUUUAUUUUAAAGAAGUCUAAUUUGGGUAAUUGUGUUAUUUCAUUUUUGUUUCUUCUUAACUAACAAAGUAAAUAUUAUUUGUGUUACACUGCAAACCACCGGUUAGUAAAACAUUAUUUCAUUUAUUUGAAAGAGUUGUCUGGGGUCAGUUAUUUAAAAUAGUGUACAGUACAUGUGACUAGAGCCACUGCUUAGUCUAACAGUGUUGUUGGCUAUUCAUAAAGUAUUAGGCUAUAAAAAGCUUCACACAAAACAGGUAAACCUUCUUGGUAGCUACCUUAAUAAAUCGAACCCAAACACCCCAUCAUUCAAGUCCAGGGUGAGUUCCUUUAACAUAGGCAUUUACUGAGUGUUGGGGUGCUACAUAAAAAUGGAGGCACCGCUGGGAUAGAUUAGUUUCAUUUUAGUUCCUGACCCAGACAACACCAGUAGUGAGGUGAGAUAAGCAGAAUAAUAAAAAGAGAAUAAAUUACAGAUGCUACAUUUUUAGUUCAUAGGUCUCUCACGUUAAACAUAAAUAAAUAAAUAAUACUUGAUUUUAGUUACCAGUUUAGUGUAAAUAACCUACAGUGAUUUCCCUGAGCUCAGGUUAGGUGCUACUACAGAAAGCUAGGUUCAAACAGACAGUACAGUGCAUUUAACC